rnacentral:rRNA from 1 species
GUGGGGAAUAUUGGGCAAUGGAGGCAACUCUGACCCAGCAACGCCGCGUGAAUGAUGAAGGUCUUCGGAUUGUAAAGUUCUGUGACGGGGGACGAACACAAUGACGGUACCCCGAUAGCAAGCCACGGCUAACUACGUGCCAGCAGCCGCGGUAAUACGUAGGUGGCAAGCGUUAUCCGGAAUGACUGGGCGUAAAGGGUGCGUAGGUGGCCUUGCAAGUUGGUAGCGUAAUUCCGGGGCUCAACUCCGGCGCUACUACCAAAACUGUUGGGCUCGAGUGCAGGAGGGGUAAGUGGAAUUCCUAGUGUAGCGGUGGAAUGCGUAGAUAUUAGGAGGAACAUCGGUGGCGAAGGCGACUUACUGGACUGUAACUGACACUGAGGCACGAAAGCGUGGGGAGCAAACAGGA